CGGUAGGCUUAACACAUGCAAGUCGUGCGAGAAAGUAUCUUCGGAUAUGAGUAGAGCGGCGAACGGGUGAGUAACGCGUAGGAAUGUACCUAGUAGAAGGGGAUAGCCCGAGGAAACUCGGAUUAAUACCGUAUACCUCCUUCGGGAGAAAGAAGGCCUCUCUUUGAAGCUUUCGCUACUAGAUCAGCCUGCGUAAGAUUAGCUUGUUGGUGAGGUAAUGGCUCACCAAGGCUACGAUCUUUAGCUGGUCUGAGAGGACGAUCAGCCACAUUGGGACUGAGACACGGCCCAGACUCCUACGGGAGGCAGCAGUGGGGAAUAUUGGACAAUGGGCGCAAGCCUGAUCCAGCCAUACCGCGUGUGUGAAGAAGGCCUUCGGGUUGUAAAGCACUUUAAGCAGGGAGAAAAAAAUAUAGGUUAAUACCCUAUGUUCUUGAUGUUACCUGCAGAAUAAGCACCGGCUAAUU
rnacentral:rRNA from 1 species